GACGAAGGUGGCAACCGUUGUUCGGAAUUACUGGGCAUAAAGAGCACGUAGGCGGACUGUUAAGUCGGGUGUGAAAUCCCUCGGCCCAACCGAGGAACUGCGCCCGAUACUGGCGGUCUUGAGGACAGGAGGGGAGCGUGGAAUUCCUGGUGGAGCGGUGAAAUGCGUUGAUAUCAGGAGGAACACCGGCGGCGAAGGCGACGCUCUGGCCUGUUUCUGACGCUGAGGUGCGAAAGCUAGGGGAGCAAAC
rnacentral:rRNA from 1 species